AUUGAACGCUGGCGGCAGGCUUAACACAUGCAAGUCGAGCGGAGAUGAGGUGCUUGCACCUUAUCUUAGCGGCGGACGGGUGAGUAAUGCUUAGGAAUCUGCCUAUUAGUGGGGGACAACAUUCCGAAAGGAAUGCUAAAACCGCAUACGUCCUACGGGAGAAAGCAGGGGAUCUUCGGACCUUGCGCUAAUAGAUGAGCCUAAGUCGGAUUAGCUAGUUGGUGGGGUAAAGGCCUACCAAGGCGACGAUCUGUAGCGGGUCUGAGAGGAUGAUCCGCCACACUGGGACUGAGACACGGCCCAGACUCCUACGGGAGGCAGCAGUGGGGAAUAUUGGACAAUGGGGGAAACCCUGAUCCAGCCAUGCCGCGUGUGUGAAGAAGGCCUUAUGGUUGUAAAGCACUUUAAGCGAGGAGGAGGCUACUGAGACUAAUACUCUUGGAUAGUGGACGUUACUCGCAGAAUAAGCACCGGCUAACUCUGUGCCAGCCGCCGCUGUAAUAC
rnacentral:rRNA from 1 species